rnacentral:rRNA from 1 species
GAUGAACGCUAGCGACAGGCUUAACACAUGCAAGUCGAGGGGCAGCACGGGAGUAGCAAUACAACUGGUGGCGACCGGCGCACGGGUGAGUAACGCGUAUGCAACCUACCUAUCAGAGGGGAAUAACCCGGCGAAAGUCGGACUAAUACCGCAUAAAACAGGGGCACCGCAUGGUGAUAUUUGUUAAAGAGAUUCGCUGAUAGAUGGGCAUGCGUUCCAUUAGGUAGUUGGUGAGGUAACGGCUCACCAAGCCGACGAUGGAUAGGGGAACUGAGAGGUUGGUCCCCCACACUGGUACUGAGACACGGACCAGACUCCUACGGGAGGCAGCAGUGAGGAAUAUUGGUCAAUGGGCGAGAGCCUGAACCAGCCAAGUCGCGUGAAGGAAGAAGGAUCUAUGGUUCGUAAACUUCUUUAGCAGGGGAAUAAAGUGCAGGACGUGUCCUGUUUUGUAUGUACCCUGAGAAUAAGGAUCGGCUAACUCCGUGCCAGCCGCCGCAGUAAAAC